UUGUGAAGUGCCCACUGUAAUUUAUGACCUAUCAUUACAGGGCAUCCUUACGGCAAAACACCUCUGAGAUCGCCCAGCCUAACGCCCUCUGUUAUCCUGACAAAUGCGAAAAAAGUUCCAGGUUCUGGGGUGACAACCGCCUGCUAGCAGCUCGGAGCCCAGGUGACGCCACUUUGGGGCUGGAAGAGACCUGUUAUCCGGCGCCCGGGGCCUCUUCCCGAGCACGGCCAGCGCACAGACGGCGGUCAAGGGGAUUUUCCAUCCGAAGGGUUGCCCAAGAAAGCCGGCUUCUGUCCCCAUAGUGUCAAGUACAGAGUUGCAGAGUCAUGCCCAGCACACGCUGUCACGGCCUAACGGAGGGAACAGGCUGUUCCUUCUCUCCCCUUCCUCCCCCUCCGCCUUUGCACACGCACACGUUUCCCACGCGCCCUCACCGCCUCCCUUCCCAGGAUCUUCGUAACCCUCAGCAACGAGGCACUCUCCAACGACCGCUUUUGCUAGGACAGUGGUCACUGUUUGGCACGUAGCAUAUCCUCUGACAUACACUCAACUUCUCAGCUAAAGAGCGUGAAAAAAAGGAAUAA